rnacentral:rRNA from 1 species
UACAUAGGGGGCAAGCGUUGUCCGGAAUGACUGGGCGUAAAGGGUGUGUAGGCGGUUAUACAAGUUAAAAGUGAAAUCCCCGGGCUUAACUCGGGUGCUGCUUUUAAGACUGUAUGACUUGAGUGCAGUAGAGAAAAGUGGAAUUCCUAGUGUAGCGGUGGAAUGCGUAGAUAUUAGGAGGAACACCAGAGGCGAAGGCGACUUUUUGGACUGUAACUGACGCUGAGGCACGAAAGUGUGGGGAGCAAAC